rnacentral:misc_RNA from 1 species
ACAUGUAUAACCCAUGUAAUGAGAUUUCUGUGAUAUCAAAGAUAGUUUAAUCCAAAUACGAAUAUAAUACUAUAUUGUCAAGACAAGAAUCUUGUGUGACUUUUGAUAGAUCUGUGAAUUGACUUGUACACCACACACACUCAGCUGAGAAACCAGUGCUCUUAUUUUUGUGAUAUCAAUUAUAAUGACGAAUGAUUGUGCAAAUACUUCUAUAAUUAUUUAUAUUGGUUUUCUGCGAGUUUGUACACCACACACAGCUGACAAAGCAGUGCUCUUAUUUUUGUGAUAUCAAUUAUAUUGAUAAUUGCAACUUGUUCCAUGAAUAUUUAUAGUUUUUUUUGUGUGCAUAAAUAUGUUUUUUCAUAUAUCAUGGUAUUAACAUUCCAUUGUUUUAUUUUUGAACAUUAAUUUAUUGAGUCUAUUAAACUUGUUGAAUUAUAAAG